GAUGAACGCUGGCGGCGUGCCUAACACAUGCAAGUCGAACGGAGUUGUUAUUAUGAAGUUUUCGGAUGGAUUAAUAAUAACUUAGUGGCGGACGGGUGAGUAACGCGUGGGUAACCUGCCUCAUACAGGGGGAUAACAGUUGGAAACGACUGCUAAAACCGCAUAACAUUGCGACGUCGCAUGACGAUGCAAUUAAAUAUUUAUAGGUAUGAGAUGGGCCCACGUCUGAUUAGCUAGUUGGUGAGGUAAUGGCUCACCAAGGCGACGAUCAGUAGCCGGCUUGAGAGAGUGACCGGCCACAUUGGGACUGAGACACGGCCCAAACUCCUACGGGAGGCAGCAGUGGGGAAUAUUGCACAAUGGGGGAAACCCUGAUGCAGCGACGCCGCGUGAGUGAAGAAGUAUUUCGGUAUGUAAAGCUCUAUCAGCAGGGAAGAAAUUGACGGUACCUGACUAAGAAGCCCCGGCUAACUACGUGCCAGCCGCCGCCGUAA
rnacentral:rRNA from 1 species